UCUGGUGAUUAUGGCUUGAAGGUAACACCCGUUCCCAUACCGAACACGAUGGUUAAGCUUCAAAGCGCCGAUGGUACUGCCGUGG
rnacentral:rRNA from 1 species